UCUCCGUAGGUGAACCUGCGGAGGGAUCAUUACAGAGUUCUCGCCCUCGCGGGUAGAUCUCCCACCCACUGUUAUCGUUACUGUGUUGCUUUGGCGGGCCGCCGGGCCCCGCUCGGCCGCCGGCUCCGGCUGGCGCGCGCCCGCCAGAGGCCCAGCAAACUCUGAAUGUUAGCGUCGUCUGAGUACUAUAUAAUAGUUAAAACUUUCAACAACGGAUCUCUUGGUUCUG
rnacentral:misc_RNA from 1 species